rnacentral:rRNA from 1 species
AUUGAACGCUGGCGGCAGGCCUAACACAUGCAAGUCGAGCGGAUGAAGGGAGCUUGCUCCUGGAUUCAGCGGCGGACGGGUGAGUAAUGCCUAGGAAUCUGCCUGGUAGUGGGGGAUAACGUCCGGAAACGGGCGCUAAUACCGCAUACGUCCUGAGGGAGAAAGUGGGGGAUCUUCGGACCUCACGCUAUCAGAUGAGCCUAGGUCGGAUUAGCUAGUUGGUGGGGUAAAGGCCUACCAAGGCGACGAUCCGUAACUGGUCUGAGAGGAUGAUCAGUCACACUGGAACUGAGACACGGUCCAGACUACUACGGGAGGCAGCAGUGGGGAAUAGUGGACAAUGGGCGCAGGCCUGAUCCAGCCAUGCCGAGUGUGUGAAGAAGGUCUUCGGAUUGUAAAGCACUUUAAGUUGGGAGGAAGGGCAGUAAGUUAAUACCUUGCUGUUUUGACGUUACCAACAGAAUAAGCACCGGCUAACUUCGUG